AACAAGAUCUAAGAUCUAAACUUCCAGAAUUGAAACAAGCACGAAAUUACUAAAUUUAAUUGAAGCAAAAACGAAUUGAAACAAUCAAACAAGAAAACAAACAUAAAAGAAUAAGAUGAAGAAGAAAACAAACACAAGAACAAUAAGAAUAAGAAAACAAAUAAACACAGAUCCUAGAGCUAAGAUAAAUAAGAAUUUACCUUAAUCUUUGGCUCUGAUACCAAACUGACGCGGAACCCAAUGAAAAUAAAUUUCAUGAACUCAAUGACAAGUUUUGGAAUAGAUCAAAGAUCUAGAAUAAAUUCCCCUCUAUGGCACCCAAAGCUUAAAGAAG
rnacentral:lncRNA from 1 species